GAGCGCGUUGUUUGCGCUUGCUAACCUUUCCCUUGGUGUUCGGUUGCUGUUGCAGGCCGGCGCGGUGAACAAGCAGGGCGACAGCAUUCUGUGCCGCUGAGCCGCGCUGUCCAGGUGUGCGGCCGCCUGAGCCCGAGCCAGGAGCACUAGAGAGGGAGGGGGAAGAGCAGAAGUUAGAGAAAAAAAGACACCGGAGGAAAGGAAAAAACAUCGGCCAACCUAGAAACGUUUUCAUUCGUCAUUCCAAGAGAGGGAGAGGAAAGAAAAAUACAACUUUCAUCCUUUCUUUGCACGUUCAUAAACAUUCUACAUACGUAUUCUGUUUUGUCUCUUCAUUUAUAACUGCUGUGAAUUGUACAUUUCUGUGUGUUUUGGAGAUGCAGUUAAACUUUUAAGCUUAAGUGUGACAGGACUGAUAAAUAGAAGAUCAAGAGUAGAUCCGACUUUAGAAGCCUACUUUGUGACCAAGGAGUUCAAUUUUUGUUUUGAAGCUUUACUAAUAUACCAGAGCAUUGUAGAUAUUUUUUUUUACAUCUAUUGUUUAAAAUAGAUGAUUAUAACGGGGCAGAGAACUUUCUUUUCUCUGCAAGAAUGUUACAUAUUGUAUAGAUAAAUGAGUGACAUUUCAUACCAUGUGUAUAUAGAGAUGUUCUAUAAGUGUGAGAAAGUAUAUGCUUUAAUAGACUACUGUAAUUAUAAGAUAUUUUUAAUUAAAUAUUUUUUGUAAAUAUUAUGUGUGUGUUUUUUUUAAUCUAUGGGAAUAUUUCUUUUGGAAAAUUACUUUUCAGCUCAAUUACAGAGCUCUUGAUAUCUUGAAUGUCUUUUCUGUUUGACCUGGCUCUUAAUUUGUGUUUGUUUUGCCCAGUAUAGACUCGGAAGUAACAGUUAUAGCUAGUGGUCUUGCAUGAUUGCAUGAGAUAUUUAAUCACAAAUUAAACUUGUUCUGAGUCCAUUCAAGUGUGUUUUUUUAAACGUAGAUUGAAAUCUUUGUAUUUGAAGCAUACAUGUUGAAUAUAUACCUUAUCAGUUUUUAAGUACAGGGUUUUAUAGUGUAAUAUAUACAGAGUAAGUGUUUGUUUUUGUUUUUCAACUGAGGUCAAAAUGGAUUCUGAAUGAUUUUGCAUAUGGGAUGAGGAAAUGCUUGGAUCCUUAAGGAGUUUACGAAAUCUGCUGUUUUAUCGAAGUGAAAAAAAAAUUGCUUAUCUUCAUUUUACACUAAAGCUUAAUGUCACUAAGUUUCAUGUCUGUACAGAUUAUUUAAUCAUGGAAAUGAAAAAAUGUUCUCUGCUUGCUACCAAAGGACAAGCUCUUGGAAAUGAACACUUUCUGCUUUCCUUCCUCCAAAGAAUUAUUAAUAGGCAACAGUGGGAGAAAAAAAAGGCAUAAUGGCAAAUCCUUCAAGCAGGGAUAAAAGUCGAUCUUCAAACAUUAACUUAAGCAGACCAAAAAUUCUGAUGACCGCAUCUAGAUUAUUUUUUUAUAAAAAUGAUUUUCACUAUAGCUAUGUUAGUUACGCUAAGCUACUGUCCAAUCUCUUGUGAUGUGUAACUUUUACAUGUGAAUAUUAAAGUAGAUUUCUCUGUCUUGUACUGUGAUUUCUGGUCUCAUUUCUUUAAAACCUUACUCAUUUUUUUAAGGCUCUUUUUUUCUCCUUAAGGAAGGUAAUAUUUUCUAGGUUAGAUAGGACUAUCAGGGUUUGUGAACAUUAUGCAUUUAAUGUUAUGGGUACUUCACACACAAGUUAGAUGGAAUUUUUAGAGUGAAAGAGAAUUAAGUAGGAUUUAAUUGGGUGCUUUGUAAAUAGUCAACUGUGUGUAUAACGUGGUCUGUUUGAUUUUUAAAAGGAAAGGAUUUGUUUCAGAUUAUACAAGAAUAAAAGUAUUAUAGACCCAAGGGACUUUUUAUGAGGUCAAAUUCAAAUAUUUAUAUGAAUAUGAAAUACCAUGGUCCCUAGUAGUCAGUUGAAGUGGCAAUGUCUAAACAAAAAUGAACAAAACUAAUGCUAGUAGGUUAAAAUCAAUCAAAAGGUUUAAAAAUUGAUCCUAUCCUCAGCAUGUUAUUUCCUCAGCUCUGAUAAUUUACUGGUCUUGAGUAUUUUUAGAAUUUGAUGUAUUUGAUGUUGAACAUUAUAAAGUCAAAGAACUGCUUGUUUAGAUGAGGUUUAUUUUUAUUUUUGAUAUUAUUCAUUCUUGUCACACAUCAAGAAGAAAACACUAGAGCGCUGCUGGAAUUCCAAAUCUGAAGAAUUCUAACGACUGCAUUCUUUGUUAUUAAAAAGGGCACAAUCCUUUUUAUUUGGCAGUUUAAUUUCAGUAGGAAGCAUGUCACAUGUGCACUGUUGGUUAGAAUUAUGCAUCUGUCAUGCCUGACUGCUGAACCCUACCUAAGCCUUUGGGCACAGUUUAAAACUUAUAAUGGUGGACCAUGAACCUCAAAACAAACGGAUAUUUUUGGAGUUUGAGGAUAGAUGUUACUCCUUAGUUAAAGUUUAUAUUUGGGGCAUGAAAAACUACUAAAAGAAGAAAAGUGUUAGAAAUACUACAUUUCAAAGAGUUGGCAUUUUCCCUUUGGCCACUCAAGCAGCAUUUGAUGUAUCUAAAGAAACAAAGUCAUUGUUUAUUUUUUAAAAAAUUAUAUGCAGUUGUACAAGAUCCCACAUUCCAUUGAAAUGUUGGCUAUGUCCUAACCAAGCAACCAGAUAACAAAAACAUUUUGAGUCUUUUAUCUAGGUAGUUCUAAUUAUUCAGAUACUUCGUUUAACAAAGGAAAACAUCCUGACUUGUCUCAUUUCAUUUGUAGACUUUUCAUUGUAUAGGCACAACCAAAGAGUCAGACUGGUUUAAAACCGCAAAAGGAAAAAAAGUAUCUCACACAGUGGAUGUUGUUUCUAAGAAUGUUACAAAAUCCUGACAUCUCAGACAUGUCGAGUUAAAGGAAGAAAAAAAAAAAAAACAACUUUUCAUUUCAAAGAACUAAUAUACUUUGAUAUUGUGUAAACCUUACUCAAGUUUAUUGUCAAGCUUUAACUGCCUUUUUAGAACUUUUUAAAAUUUUGACCCCACAAAUCUAUUGUAUUAGUUGCCUUCUGUAACAAUAAAUCUUCACUGAGCAAAAGG